GACGAACGCUGGCGGCGUGCUUAACACAUGCAAGUCGAACAGAAAGGCCCUGCUUUUGUGGGGUGCUCGAGUGGCGAACGGGUGAGUAACACGUGAGUAACCUGCCCUUGACUUUGGGAUAACUUCAGGAAACUGGGGCUAAUACCGGAUAGGAGCUCCUGCUGCAUGGUGGGGGUUGGAAAGUUUCGGCGGUUGGGGAUGGACUCGCGGCUUAUCAGCUUGUUGGUGGGGUAGUGGCUUACCAAGGCUUUGACGGGUAGCCGGCCUGAGAGGGUGACCGGCCACAGUGGGACUGAGAUACGGCCCAGACUCCUACGGGAGGCAGCAGUGGGGAAUAUUGCACAAUGGGCGGAAGCCUGAUGCAGCAACGCCGCGUGCGGGAUGACGGCCUUCGGGUUGUAAACCGCUUUCGCCUGUGACGAAGCGUGAGUGACGGUAAUGGGUAAAGAAGCACCGGCUAACUACGUG
rnacentral:rRNA from 1 species